UAGGUAAGUUGUAUCGUUUACUGGUUCUCCUGGGGUGUCACAUCCUAUUUUAACCCGAAUACCCCUUUAAACCGACUUUUAAGCGUUUUUAGCACCUAGUAUGGGUCAAAACUAUUUUUGGCAUAUAAAACUUAUUAUCCACUGAUGUUUUAAGCUAAUUUAUAUAAGUAUACAGUAAGCCAAAGUUUUUAAACUCAGAAGUCUAUUUUGACCUUUAAAGCUUAUGUGAAAUUACCAAAAUGCCCCUCCGGUGCAUAGUUUGGUUAUAUAAGAUAUAUUUCACAUAUAUAAAAUACCCUACUUAACUUAUAAAAAUGCAUGUUUUUACUGAUUAAAUCAGACUUGGAACUCAGUUUAGUAUUUAAACUCUUUUAUGGGCAUUAAAAUUACCAAAAUACCCUUAUGGGACUUAUUUUGGUUUAAAUUACUUUUUGGGCAUAUAUGUUAAUAUAUUACUGAUAUAUUAACAUAUUUUGAGCAUAAUAACGAUAAGACCUGUAUAUAAUUUAUUUGGUUACCCGUUACGCGUUUAUGCGUUCGGAUCGGUUUAUGUGACUAGUUUACGUAAAAUAGCGAAACGGGCUUAACCUUAUCAUUAAAUUCUCAUUUUCCAGAAUAUGUUUAGUUUACCCAUAUUAUACAAGUAUCCAAGCUUGUCGGGUCUAAACCACAUUCUAUCCCGGUCUUCGCUUAAUCUAGCGUUUAGAACCGUAAGGUUUCCUUCUAGCUAGCCGGUCUAAGUCCUUGACUUAAUUAAAAACCCGUUAGCAUCCUAAUAGGCUAAUAAACCUUCUAUACAGAUUAAAUAGCUUCCAGUAGAAGGUGCCUUCAAAAGCUUUAGGAUUUUACUGCUAGCAUCAGGUAAAUACUUUUAACUUAUUUUCCCUUAUACGGGCUUGGGAUACGGUAUUAUAAUAAUACCGCUUGGUCGGGUAUGAAAUCAUUUAAUCGGAUUUUGAUUAAUAAAUUUGCAUAACCCGUUUUAAUCUGUUUUGUUUGAUAACAUAAACAUUGGGGGGGUUAACACGACCGUGUCCUGGAUAUCCUCAGCUCAUUUAAGUUAUUAAUGGCCACGACCUAUGCACGGGGUGCAGGCAUGCACCUGACAGAUGCAAAUGCUCAAUAUUAAAUUACCCACAAGUUGGGGAUAACUCCUAUGUGGGUUUUAUAAGUGGUGAGUCAGUUAAUCAUGUCUGGCUUCUAAACCGGCCCCACAUGUAUGACAAACAUGUAAAAAUCUAUACAAGAUUUUAUUAAAAAUUGUCCCAAGUUAUAAAUGGUUUGUGCCAUGUGCACUCAAAUCAAUUUUCACAAAUGUACCUCUCGUAAUAGGCUGGAGCUAUAGGGUUUCAUAGAGGAUCUUGCAAAUCCAUAAGAUACCUAAAGUCUGUUGUUUUUGUUUCUUUGUACAUUUAUGAUCCGCCUGUGGAUCUUAUUACAUUCCAGUCUAUAUAUUCAUAAACUCGAACACUCAGACAAUAUGGUUUGUAAUAGUUUAUUCACCAAGCCUUCCGCUGUGCUAUAAUAUUGUGUGUAUUGACAAUGAUGAUAUCAACUACGUCACGAUACUCCCCGCCGGGCCCACCGGUAAUAUGUGGAAAUAUCGGGGUGUGACAUCCAGUUAAGUUACUCAAGUUUUAAAAGUUUUCCAAUCAGGUCACUCAACAUUCAUUCUUCAUUAAAAUUCAGGGUUUUUCAUCAAUUUCAUAGGUAACCGUGGUGAUGUGGAUUUUUGUUUUUUUUUUCUCUUUUAUUUGAUGCUAAUGUCAAGUGAUGACGUGGAUUGUAACUUGUUUUUUAAAUUUUUAAUGUAAUGAAAUGGUUUUUAUUUUUAAUAAAUAUAAUUUCAUAUAUUAAAAUAAUUCGACCCUAACAUCUUAUGCUUCAUUUUUUUCUUGACACGUGGAAAAAAGUACAUGACUCGAUUUGAAUGUUAAGUUAUCUAAUUGGGACAAAAACGACACUAGUGGCCUAAUUGGAACACUCUUAAAACUUGGUUAUUAUUCUGUGAAAUAUUCCCUUUUUUAAAUUUGCAAUUUUUUUACCUAUAAAUACCCCCCAUCUCAAACUUCAUUUUCCACACAAAAUAACAAAUCUUCUUCAACCAAACGCAUACCAAAUAACAAAUCUUCAACCAAAC
rnacentral:lncRNA from 1 species